CCUGACGCAGCAACGCCGCGUGCGGGAUGACGGCCUUCGGGUUGUAAACCGCUUUCAGCAGGGACGAAGGGUCACCUUGACGGUACCUGCAGAAGAAGCACCGGCUAACUACGUGCCAGCAGCCGCGGUGAUACGUAGGGUGCGAGCGUUGUCCGGAAUUAUUGGGCGUAAAGAGCUUGUAGGCGGUCUGUUGCGUCGGAAGUGAAAACUCAGGGCUUAACCCUGAGCCUGCUUUCGAUACGGGCAGACUUGAGGGAUGUAGGGGAGAACGGAAUUCCUGGUGGAGCGGUGGAAUGCGCAGAUAUCAGGAGGAACACCAGUGGCGAAGGCGGUUCUCUGGACAUUUCCUGACGCUGAGAAGCGAAAGCGUGGGGAGCAAACAGGCUUAGAUACCCUGGUAGUCCACGCCGUAAACGGUGGGCACUAGGUGUGGGUUCCAUUCCACGGAAUCCGUGCCGAAGCUAACGCAUUAAGUGCCCCGCCUGGGGAGUACGGCCGCAAGGCUAAAACUCAAAGGAAUUGACGGGGGCCCGCACAAGCGGCGGAGCAUGCGGAUUAAUUCGAUGCAACGCGAAGAACCUUACCUGGGUUUGACAUAUGCCGGAGACACCUAGAGAUAGGUGCCCCGCAAGGCC
rnacentral:rRNA from 1 species